UAAAGGAUUUGGUAUGAUCCAUUCCUCCCUGUGUCAGUGGUUUGGUCUGUAUUCAGAAGGUCAGAUUACUCUGUGUGUGUCUCAUCCUGCACACAGAUGCGCAAUACUGUGACCGGCUGCAUAAACUCAUCACAAACGUCUGUGUGCAAGAGACCGACAUGGAAAGAGCUUCAUUCUAAGAGUUUUUCCCAGAAGGAAAUCUUUGAGUCAAAGACGAGCGUCCUGCAAACAUGUUCAGCACCAAAAGCUGUGGAUAAAGGAUGAGGAUCUCUUAGACAGCUGAAAAGGUUUCACAUGGAGCAGUGGAGACCAGAGCUUCUGCAGGAGACCAGAGCGCCUGAUUCAUUUUCUUGUUAGCAUCACCGCAGGCCUGACCCCACGCCUCAGGUCCUGUGAACAAAGACACUGUUUUCACUGCAUUUAAUAAGUCUAGGUAAAUUCAAAGCCUUUCACAUGCCUAUAGCCUAGAUUUGGGAAGCAUAC
rnacentral:lncRNA from 12 species